rnacentral:lncRNA from 1 species
GGAGGGCCGAGCAGGCUCGGGGAACCCGGAGGGGCUCCCCGCCCUCGGCCGCGCGUGUCCCGGAGAUGUCCGCGCGCCGCGCCGCGUGGGAAGGGCCGCGCCCGCGGUCGCCGCGCCGGGGAGAUGGGGCGGAACCCCGCGCGGGGAGCCGCGAAGGGGACUAGUCGGCGCUCGGCCUGGAGCUCGUUAUUUGACCCCUCGGGUUAUUUUGAGUGACUCAGAACUCGGUUACCGCAUCGCGCUUGCUUUCUCCGCGCCUGGUUCCAAACCAGAAACAGCUGAGCGGGCUGAUUUACAGUUCCGUUGACUCCUUUCCUGCCCGAAGCUUGCUGGGCUGCAGGACUUUGUUCCUGCUGUUAGGGGAGAUUUAUAUUCAAAGAGAUUCAAAUUCAAACGUAUUAUUUUCCAAUCCUCAUUGAAAAGACCUUUCCCAGGGGCUCUUAUUAACUGUCCCCACCCCCACCGUGGGGAUUUUCUCUCUGGAUUUCAGAAUCUUCUAUCCCGAGAUAAAUACGGCCUCUUCAUUGAUUAAUCCAACUACCAUCUGGAUGACUUUAAUUACAAGAAAUUUAAGGUCACCCUGCAGACUUUGUGUUGGAGGUUUUUGCAUGAGUCUUGGAACUUCGGCAGGACUCUCCACCCAAACAUUUCCUAUCUGACCUCCAACCUGUUUGGUGGAGGGUAAUUUAAUGAUUAUUUGAGGUUCUUCUGUUGUAUAUCAUGGCUGUGUUUCUUCUAAUAACUCAUGAGUAGUGAAACUUAGGGAUAAUAGAAAUUAUCGUUUGGUCCUUAAGGCAUAAAGUAAAAGUUAAAGUUUAUAUUUGUUGACCACCACCCAUAAAAAAUCAGUACUAGCUUACCACCUAUUGCGUGCUUAGCACAGCAAUCUAUCCCUCAGGUAAGCCUAACAUAAAGGUUUAAGCAAAUCAAACAGGCGUAGUAGAACACCUAAAGAAUUCGAUACACUCUCUCUGAUCACCAUUUUAAAAGCAGUUUAAACCUCGGCAAUCCCUUGUAUUGGAUCUGCUAUUCCUUCUGAGAUUAGUAAUUUUGUUCUAGGACAUUCUGUUUUCCUCCUGGCGCCUACAUCCUUUUGUUCCUAUUCAUUCCUUUCGGCACCUGCGAUGCUUGGAGUCUGGUCCCGGGGUGGGGAAGCGAGCAAGACUUGACCAUAUCAGUCAUCUAUGACUCCUCUCUCUUGUCUGCCACACCCUCCAGCAAUGGAGUCAGAAGAGCUGUGUUGAAGCUUGCUUCUUUGGAAGCAACAGCCUCACUCAGAGGUGUCACUGAAAGGAAGUGAUGAGUCACAUGGCUCCCAACACACUCUAGAGAUCUCUUUGCUGGCUUGAUGAAGUAAGCGGCCAUGCUGAGGAGUCCCACAUGGCAGGGAACUGCAGGCAGCUUCUAGGAACUGCAAGUGGCCUCUAGCCUCCAGCCUACAAGGGCCUUCAGUCCUACAGAUGCAAGGACAUGAAUUCCGCCAACAAACUGAGUGAGCCUGAAAGUGGAUCCUUCCACAGUGAAGCCUGCAGAUGGGAACACAGCCCAG